AAGGAAGUUACUGUCAUGGUCUUAUCAAUGACAAAGUCCAAACAGAUUUUUCUACCUGUUAUAGAUAAUCACCAUGAAUAUGAAGAUAGAGCUCCUUGUUUAGGUCUCUCAUGCAUUAAACCUGGGUGUAAGUUUGCAAAAGGUUUUUUCUUGACUUCGUACACAAUGAAUAGUUUUUUCUUCCUUUUCAUCUUUAUUCUUGUCUAGGUGGAGUUGACAAUACUGAUGAUUGAUUUCAGUUUGUGUUCAUGCAGCUUCUGGCAGCUAUGAUGAAGUUUUUUUCUCUACUAAUUCCUUCAGCCAUGUAAAGAAGGCCGAACAUAAGUUAACAAGAUGUCGCUCCUGACAUGUGCCUUAAGGCCCUCGUAAUGUAGGAUAUGGAGAUAUCUGAUUGUCUGUGUUGGUUGAGAACUUUUAUCUCAGCAUGCAUGAUUAAAAAAAAAGUGUCGAUGUUCUGUUCUAAGUUGGCCCGUUGAGGCUGGGGUGGUUAUUCUUUUGGGGUUAAAAGGAGUAAUGUGUAAUGACAAGUCCAACCACUACUGAGUACUUAGCCUAGCAGAUUCGCAAAAGGAAGGAUUACGAGGAAGUGAUGCUGUCCCUUUUUAACAUUUUAUUUGGAAUCUGAGAUUGGUCUUUGCCAUAUUUCGAUAUUUCCAGAAGCCCUCCUAGCUAAGUAAUCACUAAUCAUCAAGACACAAGCCCCUGUAUCAAUGUAUUUCUGUUACUAAAUGCUUGUAUGAGGAACAAUAGCAUGUUUCUCUUGGAAAAUUGUUUUAGUGUGAAUUACUAACAUGUAUUAGCAAAUUCAGUAUGUUCUGUCAAAUGUAAUAUUUCACUAAUGUGAAUACUUCAAGAUGAAUUGUUGAUAUGCUUAUCUAAGUAACAAAAUUAGGUGUUCAUACUGUCUCUUCUUCUUACCCACCAAAGCUACAAUAUCUAGUUUAUUUCUGAGGUUAGGUGGUCUCUUGCUUCUUCUCACCUAAAAUUAUAAGUUAUUCUACUCUUCCAUGUAACCUUCCCUCAAGGUUUUAGCUUUGAGGAAAGUGUGUGAUGGUUGAGAUUCCUUCUUUAUUAACUAAACCUCUCGGAUUCAGAUACAGGAAUAAGGUAGGAAGCGUUUUGCCCUUAGUCAGCCUGAUUUUGAAAUUCGUUUUCAAUCACUAUUACAUCAACAUCCUGGCUUCAGAUGGUCAAUGAGCAGUACUACGUAUUAUAAAGGGUAACUUGUGGGGCAAGGAU
rnacentral:lncRNA from 1 species